rnacentral:rRNA from 1 species
AAUGAACGCUGGCGGCGCGCCUAAUACAUGCAAGUCGAGCGAGAAGACGUAGCAAUACGUUUGUAAAGCGGCGAACGGGUGAGGAAUACAUGGGUAACCUACCCUAGAGUGGGGAAUAACUAGCCGAAAGGUUAGCUAAUACCGCGUACGCUCCUUGGACUUCGGUUCAGGGAGGAAAGCGAUGCCGAGGGUAUCGCGCUCUUGGAUGGGCUCAUGUCCUAUCAGCUUGUUGGNGAGGUAACGGCUCACCAAGGCUUCGACGGGUAGCUGGUCUGAGAGGACGAUCAGCCACACUGGCACUGCGACACGGGCCAGACUCCUACGGGAGGCAGCAGUAAGGAAUAUUGCGCAAUGGGCGAAAGCCUGACGCAGCGACG